rnacentral:lncRNA from 1 species
UUGGACUUUGAAGACUGCAUGGCCUCAGAAGAGUGGAAGGACUUGAAGACAUACAUGUGGCUGGUUAAAAAUGAAAAAGCAUCCUCAUCCACAAAGUCCAACUUGCCACACUCCUGGGAGAUGACCACUGUUUGGAGCAAAUUCUUCCAGUCAAAUGUGUCCUUAAGAUAAUCUCCUUGUACAGAAGCUUUUUCAUCAAGGUAACCCUUGGCCUAUUUGCCUAUCUACUUGAUGAUUCUGUUCAGAGCUUCCUAGUGGGCUGAAUGCUAGGAUUGUUUCUGGCAAGACAUAGGACCAUACAGAGGCAGCAGACAGUGGGGGGAAUAAGAGAGGAAAGACAGAAUGCCAGGAGAAAAGGGGCAAGUCAAGGAGGACAAAUGACAGGGGGCGUG